UACAGAGGGUGCAAGUGUUGUUCGGAAUCAUUGGGCGUAAAGGGCGCGUAGGCGGCAAUUUAAGUCAGAUGUGAAAGCCCUGGGCUUAACUCAGGAACUGCAUUUGAUACUGAACUGCUAGAGUGCGAUAGAGGGUAGUGGAAUUCCCGGUGUAGAGGUGAAAUUCGUAGAUAUCGGGAGGAACACCAGUGGCGGAAGCGGCUACCUGGAUCGCAACUGACGCUGAGGCGCGAAAGCGUGGGGAGCAAACAGG
rnacentral:rRNA from 1 species